rnacentral:lncRNA from 1 species
GCAGCACCAAGGAAAGAUAAUCCCCCAAUAGAUAAAAACACCUGAAACUGGUGAUCCGCAGCUUCCCAAUAAGAUCUCAGGAGUCGGGUAUAUGGGCUCAAGCAUGCACAUUAAUGGGCAAAAGGACAGAGUUCAACUGGUAUAUAACCUCCCUCUAAAAGCAUUUGAAUGGUAAGGGAAAAACGCCACAAGUGAGCAUGUGCACAAUUUCAGUAAACACACUGGGCCUGCAGCCCCUCCCAAGUGCUAGCAGAACACUGCACAUGCGGACAGCCCACCCCAAGGGAAGAAUCAGGGAAAGAAGGGAUGCAACACCCACUCACCCCCAACCAAAGCAUGCCAAGGUAUAAAACCCCAAGUCAAAGGUCAAACUGCGCACUUGAAUCUCUCAAGUCGCCCGCAUGGCCCUCUUCCAAUUGUACUUUACUUUCGUUCCUGCUCUAAAACUUUUUACUAAACUUUUUCUCCUGCUCUAAAACUGUCAGGCCUCUGAGCCCAAGCUAAGCCAUCACAACCCCUGUGACUUGCAUGUAUACAUCCAGAUGGUCUGGAGCAACUGGAGAACCACAAAAGAAGUGAAACAGUCAGUUCCUGCCUUAACUGAUGACAUUCCACCAUUGUGAUUUGUUCCUGCCCCACCCUAACUAAUCAAUCGACCUCGUGACAUUCCUCCCCUGGACAAUGUGUCUCAUGAUCUCCCCACCCUGCCCCUUGAGACCCCCGCCCCUGCCCAUAAGAGAUAACCACCUUUAACUGUAAUUUUCCACUACCUACCCAAAUCCUAUAGAACUGCCCCACCCCUAUCUCCCUUUGCUGACUCCUUUUUCGGACUCAGCCCACCUGCACCCAAGUGAAUAAAGAGCCUCGUUGCUCACACAAAGCCUGUUUGGUGGUCUCCUCACACAGACGCAUGUAACAUUUGGUGCUGAAACCCAAGACAGGGGACUCCUUCAGAAGACCAGCCCCCUGUCCUCACCCUCAGUCCGGGAGGAGAUCCACCUACGACCUCGGGUCCUCAGACCAGCCCAAGGAACAUCUCACCAAUUUCAAAUUGGGACCCCACUGGAAGUCGGACCAUCCAACUUGGAUUACAGCUGCUCCUAGACCUACUGGAGCAAAAAGCUAAGGCUCCUGGCUGAUUCCUUCCCAGAUCUCCUCGGCUUAGUGGCUAAAGACUGACGCUGCCAAAUCAUCUCGGAAGCCCCCUGGACCAUCACGGAUGCCGAGCUUCGGAUAACUCCUACAGUGGAGGAUGGCCUGGAGCAACUGAAGAACCACAAAAGAAGUGAAACAGCCAGUUCCUGCCUUAACUGAUGACAUUCCACCAUUGUGAUUUGUUCCUGCCCCACCCUAACUAAUCAAUCGACCUUGUGACAUUCCUCCCCUGGACAAUGAGUCUCAUGAUCUCCCCACCCUGCACCUUGUGUCCCCCAUCCCUGCCUGUAAGAGAUAACCACCUUUAACUGUAAUUUUCCACUACCUACCCAAAUCCUAUAAAACUGCCCCACCCCUAUUUCCCUUUGCUGACUCCUUUUUCGGACUCAGCCCACCUGCACCCAAGUGAAUAAACAGCCUCAUUGCUCACACA